rnacentral:lncRNA from 1 species
CUCUGCCUCAGAGGUCUUCUUGAGCCACUACUGUAUCCAAGGAUGCCUAAUUGUAAUGCCAGCUUCUGGGGUGAACAUGGACCCACUGUCUUCCGUCAAGGUCUAGGAUGGACAUGGACCCACCAUCAUCUGGGAGGUCCUGGAGUGGACGUGGACCCACCAUCAUCAGGCAGCUUCCUGGAGUAUUCAGAAGCGGGUGGGUGUCGUCUGGAGGAUGUGACUGUGUAACAGCGCCAGAGCAUGUAUCCACUGAGCAGUCUUCUUCUCUUUCCUCUAGCCUCAUGAAAAAUUCUGGGAUCUUUACCUCAAAGGACUCCAGAGGCUACAUCAUCGUAUUGGAACUGGUCAGUGGCUGGACAUCUCUUCAGGACAAGUGCUUGGAGGAAGAACCUGGACAAGCUUCCCUCCCCAUGCUGUUGACUGGAUCUUGUAUCUACCGCUAAGCCACCAUCAUCACCACUGUGUGCCUCUUAGGAGCAUGUCUAGGAGGUGAUGCCAGCUGGGGGAAGAGCCUCUGUCACACAGGACAGCUUCAGGUGGUGAUUCCAGCUCCCGGGUUGCUGUGGUCAACACUGGGUACUUGAGGAGAGGUU